CUACCUGUGUUGUGCUCAGGCAGAGCUAAGUUCUAAACUGAUUUGCAUAUACAAUCAGAGGAGCCACUGUGCAAUGACAUCAUCACAGCAUGAUAGAGGUCACAGAUAGAACCCAACUGGUAUUGAUGCAGACAGGAAGCCAAAGCAUUCUAUCUUCUACUCUGAGAAUACCUCAAGGCUGGAUAUAAAACAUUGAGAGAUCAUGUGACAUCUUCAAGGCAACAGACUCUGUCUUUCAUGACCAGAACAAGGUCCCAUUCACUGGAUCUUAGGCACAGAUGAAGCUUGAGGAAUUUGAGUACGGAACUUUGGUUCUUGGAGAAGCAAGUUAGACUCACUAUUAUACCGAAGCCAAUUGAUGCUAAUUCAACAAAGUCAUCUCGUGUACACUCUGGACUCCAAUCUCCCCACUUAUCCUCCG
ensembl:lncRNA LOC120100749 uncharacterized LOC120100749